ACUAACUAGACGUUGAUGCCUAUGCCUCCACAAAUUAUGUAACGGAAUAACCAACCAAUUGUCCCAUUUCAUGGAUUGCUCCUCUGUCACGUGGUUGGCGUCAUUGGCGUGGCGUGGCGUGGCGGGGGGGGCGUCACGCUCAAAGGGCCUCGCCCUGCGUAGCAAAAAACAGAGUAUGCCUAUAUAAAAAUAUACAUAUAUAAAUGGAAAAAAAUUGGAGUGCGCUCAUUGAGAGACCCAAGUUUCAACUACCAGGUAAAGGAAUCCCGUAAUAGGCAACGAAACCGAUCUUCAUCCACUUCCAUUAAAUAAAUGGGCUAAAUAGUCUCAAAAUCCCUCAAUCUGGCAACAAUGGCUUUUGCGUACCUUACGUGAAUUACUACGCCAUUACGCCUCUUGCAUGCGGGAAUUUCAAAACUGCUAAUCAUUACGUCUUGCUAAAUGACGGUAGAUACAUGAGUUAAGAAAAUAUGCAAUCGGUGCUCAAAAGCGCAGCAAUAAACACCCGAAGAUUACAACCUUAUUUAGACUAGCUAGGGAGGUAGCUAUCAUCAGCAUACGAAACACUACCGCAACAGCAGGUAGCUAUAGCAGCAGCACGUCUUUACCAGCAACCUGCCUUUCCAACGCAACAUCCCCUGGCGGCUGGGAAACCCCCGCACACGUUGAGAGCCCCGGAGUUUUGACUGCCAGGUUUUGUAGGUGUUAUUGGCAGUGAACAUGGCCAGCUGCACCUUUAGGGACUGGAACUGUAGCUCUGGACACAGGUCAACCACGUCAUCAACUUGACCAGAGAGUAGGACUUUCUCCAGCUUGACCAGGUAUAUUCCACUGGAGUGUCAAGACGGAGAAGAGGUUUGACUGGGCUGAGCGACCUGUGAUGACAGCAUAAAAAGCAUACUUUUCUUUUCUCCUUUAUGUUGGAUUUUGUGAGACAAAAAGGCACACAGCUAAAUGCUGCACGACAGUCUGUGUCUGUCUCUAAUAAAUAUUUUAAGCAUAAAUUCUAAUGUUCUACACCGUAUAUACGACAGUCAGGUGUUCAAUUAUAUUCUGUUCUCAUUCAUUGGGACCAAAUCUUGUGUGCAAACAAAAUAAUUGACGUAACAUUUGUGUUAUUGUAAGGUUUUUAUUUUUCAUUUUUCCCCCUUGAAGAUUUCAGUUUGUUUUUCAAUUGAAUUGUUCACAUUAUAGGUCACAUUAAAAGUGGAAAAAGUUCUGACAUGAUUUAUCUUUGUCUCAUUCUUUUACAUCACAAAAAACAGGCUUUUUCACAGGGGUGUGUAGACUUUUUUAUAUCUUCUGUAUAUCCAUUUCCAAGAUAAUGCAUCCAUCUGACAGGUGUGGUAUAUAAAGAAGCUGAUUAAAAAUCAUUACACAGUUGGA
ensembl:lncRNA